ACGCUCGACACCUACGGGAGCAGCAGUGGGGAAUAUUGGGCAAUGGGCGAAAGCCUGACCCAGCAACGCCGCGUGAGGGAAGAAGGUUUUCGGAUUGUAAACCUCUGUCCUCAGGGACGAAGGACGUGACGGUACCUGAGGAGGAAGCCCCGGCUAACUACGUGCCAGCAGCCGCGGUAAUCUGGAGGCGGGCGUGGACGAAGGC
rnacentral:rRNA from 1 species